rnacentral:tRNA from 1 species
UGGCUCCGUAGCUCAGGGGAUAGAGCAUAGGUUUCCUAAACCUUGUGUCGCAGGUUCGAAUCCUGCCGGGGUCAUC